rnacentral:rRNA from 1 species
AUUGAACGCUGGCGGCAUGCCUUACACAUGCAAGUCGAACGGUAACGCGGGGCAACCUGGCGACGAGUGGCGAACGGGUGAGUAAUGCAUCGGAACGUGCCCAGUAGUGGGGGAUAGCCCGGCGAAAGCCGGAUUAAUACCGCAUACGACCUACGGGUGAAAGGGGGGGAUCGCAAGACCUCUCGCUAUUGGAGCGGCCGAUGUCAGAUUAGGUAGUUGGUGGGGUAAAGGCCUACCAAGCCGACGAUCUGUAGCUGGUCUGAGAGGACGACCAGCCACACUGGGACUGAGACACGGCCCAGACUCCUACGGGAGGCAGCAGUGGGGAAUUUUGGACAAUGGGCGCAAGCCUGAUCCAGCCAUGCCGCGUGCGGGAAGAAGGCCUUCGGGUUGUAAACCGCUUUUGUCAGGGAAGAAAUCUUCUGAGUUAAUACCUCGGGAGCAUGACGGUACCUGAAGAAUAAGCACCGGCUAACUACGUGCCAGCCGCCGCGGUAAUAC